AUAUUUGUCUCCUACCGUAAGGGCUUCGGUGAACCCACGGGUGGAGUUAUGAUGGUGGCAUAAACUCGCGGGUCACUCAACCAGCCUCAUGAGGAGCCUGGCAGGAAAGAGUAAGGAAGCCGCAGCCCACAUCAGGCCAGACAUGUCAUCGCGGCCAUCAGCACAGGCACAGAGGUGCUGAUGAAGAGCAGCCGUGUGGCGCUGUGUUAGAGUAAAUUCUGUAAUUGUUAAUCAGGCAGGCAUUAUCAUCCCUGAUGAUACCCCAUUCACCGCCUAAGUAUCCCGAGAUGCUCACCUGCACUCUCGCUAUUACACAUUCUGCAGCACAAUGCGCCGUGAGAUUAUAAUUCACAAUAAAGACCAUGCAUUUUUAUUCCUUUCUGCCUGUAUACAUCACUGAGAAACAUGAAGCCCUAACAAGGCUUUUCAGAUGUAAAAUAACGUAGAAGAAAACUGUGUUCAUUGUGGGGUUUCAGAGAUUGAUGGCAAUUAGGAAGCCCUAUGCCCCUGAUUAAUGCGUGUUUAUAAACACAGGCAAAGUGCCUGCCUCCCGCGGCACGCACAGGAAGCAGGGACCCGGCUCUGAUGAAACGGCUCAACGUGGAGGCUUGUUCUUCAGCGUCAAAGUGAGCCGUCCAAGAAAAGGCUCUCCUGUCUGGCUCGGGAAGGUCUCUUGGAACGGCCGCCAGAUCUGUCAUGGGAAACCGAGACAAACGCGGGCCUUGGCUUUGGGUGCUACUGAUUGGGCCAGGCCCACCCAGGUUAUCGAGGGUGAUGUCCUCUGCUGAGAGCCAGCUCAUUGCAGCUAGUGACCACGUCUGCUGAAUUUCUUCACAGCAGCAUUUGGACUCGUGUUGGGUUGAAUCACUGGGGAUUAUAGCUUAGGCAGGCGGCCUCGACCCACUGGCCAUCACAGGAACGACAUCUCUCACGAGGUUGGAGAAGGUGGUGAGCAUUUUGGGAAAUUAAGUACGGGAAAAUGACUCGCAGGAGGGAUUCCUGUCAUCUCCAAGAGUACCGGAUGUGUCAUGGUUGUCUCACUACAUUGACACCACCAGCCACAAGCCUGCACCUACACACCGGCUCUGCCCUCCACCCUGCGUGGCUGUGUCAUUCUGAACAGCCCAGCUCUGGGAGGGAGAUCCCAUCUCCUUCCCACAUCCCCGAUGAGGAAGCACAGCCUGCUGUGUGCACACAUCGCUGGGCAUGGAGAGCUGCCCAAUCUCUAGUGCUGGAAAGUGCCCGCGGCCCCACAUGGCAUCUCUCGCCCACGGCGUUUGGGAGGAACCCAAAAGUGAGGAUGAAGCCCGUCCUUAAUCCUCUGGGGAAGUCUGUCUCGGUGAGAACUCCAGCUUGCCACUGUAUGCAAAUACCUGUCUCCCUAGAAAUCCGCUUGACAGUGAUGCUGAGCAGAAAAUAUGGAACAUGA
rnacentral:lncRNA from 1 species